rnacentral:rRNA from 1 species
CCUACGGGGGGCAGCAGUGGGGAAUAUUGGACAAUGGGGGGAACCCUGAUCCAGCCAUGCCGCGUGUGUGAAGAAGGCCCUCGGGUUGUAAAGCACUUUCAGUGAGGAAGAACGCCUGGUGGUUAAUACCCAUCAGGAAAGACAUCACUCACAGAAGAAGCACCGGCUAACUCCGUGCCAGCAGCCGCGGUAAUACGGAGGGUGCGAGCGUUAAUCGGAAUUACUGGGCGUAAAGCGCGCGUAGGUGGCUUGAUAAGCCGGUUGUGAAAGCCCCGGGCUCAACCUGGGAACGGCAUCCGGAACUGUCAAGCUAGAGUGCAGGAGAGGAAGGUAGAAUUCCCGGUGUAGUGGUGAAAUGCGUAGAGAUCGGGAGGAAUACCAGUGGCGAAGGCGGCCUUCUGGACUGACACUGACACUGAGGUGCGAAAGCGUGGGUAGCAAACAGGAUUAGAUACCCGAGUAGUC